AGGUCCGGCUGGGGAGCGGAACGGCAUGGGAGGGCCGGCCGCAGCGGGUGACAGCCCCGUACGCGAACCCAGACCGGACGGCGCGACGCGGUCCCUGAGUAGGGCCGGGCACGUGAAACCCGGUCCGAACCUGGGUGGACCACCAUCCAAGCCUGAGUACUACCCUGUGACCGAUAGCGCACCAGUACCGUGAGGGAAAGGUGAAAAGCACCCCGGGAGGGGAGUGAAACAGUACCUGAAACCGUGCGCCCACGAGCAGUCGGAGCAACUUUUAGUUGUGACGGCGUGCCUUUUGUAGAAUGAGCCAGCGAGUCGCUGGCGCGGGGCGAGGUUAACCGAAAGGGAGCCGGAGCGAAAGCGAGCCUUAACAGGGCGACUUGAGUCCCGCGCCGCGGACGCGAAGCCGGGUGAGCUAUCCGUGGGCAGGCUGAAGCGGGGGUAAGACCCCGUGGAGGGCCGAACGCACGUCGGUUGAAAACGGCGGCGAUGACCUGCGGAUAGGGGUGAAAGGCCAAUCAAACCCGGAGAUAUCUCGUUCUCCCCGAAAUAGCUUUAGGGCUAGCGUCGCGCGUUCACCGCCGGAGGUAGAGCACCGGAUGGACGAGGGGGCUUCGCCGCCUACCGAAUCCAACCGAACUCCGAAUGCCGGCGGCCCAGAGCGCGGCAGUCAGAGCAUGUGGGCUAAGCUGUGUGCUCGAGAGGGAAACAGCCCGGACCGCCCGCUAAGGUCCCCAAGUUCCAGCCGAGUGGCAAAGGAUGUGCGUCCGCCCAGACAACCAGGAUGUUGGCUUAGAAGCAGCCAUCCAUUCAAAGAGUGCGUAACAGCUCACUGGUCGAGUGGACAUGCGCCGACAAUACACGGGGCUAAGCUGGACACCGAAGCGGCGGGAUUUUGAUUUUCAGAAUCGGUAGGGGAGCUUCCCAUGGGCGGAGAAGCCGGAGGGCGACCGACGGUGGAGCGCAUGGGAGUGAGAAUGCUGGCAUGAGUAGCGAGAGACGAGAGAGUAACUCGUCCGCCGUGAACCCGAGGUUUCCUGGGCAAGGCUAAUCCUCCCAGGGUCAGUCGGGGGCUAAGGCGAGGCCGGGAGGCGUAGCCGACGCGCAGCAGGCAGACAUUCCUGCACCGCGCACGCGGCGCUACGACCGACGGGGCGACGGAUGGGGGUGGCUCGGCGGGGUUCUGGACGUCCCCGUGAUGGAGCGCGGCCCGCGGACCAGGGAAAUCCGGUCCGCAGAAGGGCGAGGCUCCGGACGAAGCGACUGAGCGAAGCGAGUGAGCCCGAGGUCCCUAGAAAAACCCCUAGGCAGGCGCGUGCGCGCCCGUACCGCAAACCGACACAGGUGGGUGGGUAGAACAUACCGAGGCGAUCGGGUCAACCAUGGUCAAGGAACUCGGCACAAUGGCCCCGUAACUUCGGGAGAAGGGGUGCCCGCGCGUACGUGAACCGGCUUGCCCGGGGAGCGGAGGCGGGCCGCAGUGGAGAGGCCCAAGCGACUGUUUACCAAAAACACAGGACUCUGCAGAAGCCGCAAGGCGACGUAUAGGGUCUGACGCCUGCCCGGUGCCGGAAGGUCACGCGGAGGAGUUAGCCAUUUCGGCGAAGCCCCGAAGCCAAGCCCCGGUAAACGGCGGCCGUAACUAUAACGGUCCUAAGGUAGCGAAAUUCCUUGUCGGGUAAGUUCCGACCUGCACGAAAGGCGCAACGACUUGGGCGCUGUCUCGACCAUGGACCCGGUGAAAUUGCACUGGUCGUGAAGAUGCGACUUACCCGCGGAAGGACGGAAAGACCCCGUGAACCUUCACUGCAGCUUGGCAUUGGCCGCUGGUCCCGCGUGUAGAGGAUAGGCAGGAGGCAUCGAUCCGGAGGCGCCAGCCCCCGGGGAGCCGCCCUUGGAAUACUGCCCUCGCGCGACCGGCGUCCUAACCCGAGGCCGUCAACCGGCUCGGGGACCGUGCCAGGCGGGCAGUUUGACUGGGGCGGUCGCCUCCUAAAGGGUAACGGAGGCGCGCGAAGGUCCGCUCGGGACGGUCGGCAACCGUCCUUUUGAAUGCAAGAGUACAAGCGGGCUUGACUGCGAGGCCCACAAGCCGAGCAGGUGCGAAAGCAGGCUCUAGUGAUCCGGCGGCCCCGAGUGGGUGGGCCGUCGCUCAACGGAUAAAAGGUACUCCGGGGAUAACAGGCUGAUCUUGCCCAAGAGUCCACAUCGACGGCAAGGUUUGGCACCUCGAUGUCGGCUCAUCGCAUCCUGGGGCUGGAGCAGGUCCCAAGGGUACGGCUGUUCGCCGUUUAAAGCGGUACGCGAGCUGGGUUCAGAACGUCGUGAGACAGUUCGGUCCCUAUCCGGCG
rnacentral:rRNA from 1 species